UACGUAGGGUGCAAGCGUUACUCGGAAUUACUGGGCGUAAAGCGUGCGCAGGCGGUGAUGUAAGACAGAUGUGAAAUCCCCGGGCUUAACCUGGGAACUGCAUUUGUGACUGCAUCGCUGGAGUGCGGCAGAGGGGGAUGGAAUUCCGCGUGUAGCAGUGAAAUGCGUAGAUAUGCGGAGGAACACCGAUGGCGAAGGCAAUCCCCUGGGCCUGCACUGACGCUCAUGCACGAAAGCGUGGGGAGCAAACAGG
rnacentral:rRNA from 1 species